rnacentral:lncRNA from 1 species
AUAUGUGUAAAAUAUUUUAUGAGAGAAUGUGUCGUUGAAAAUGAAAUUGAAAAAAAUGCAUUAUCAAAAAAAAGGGGCUCAAUCAGGGGGCUAAACAAAUAAACGAUAAUAUUUAUAAUAUUUCCGCAAAUAAUAACAGCGCUAUAUUGCAUUAGAAUUGGCAAAAUGUAGUCCUAAUCGGGCUCAUUACAAAAUACCCAUCUUUUACUCAAAGUCGGUGCAUGUUAACAUAAUUUGUAAUUAUUUUUGUUAUAGUUAAAAUAAAUAAGCUAUCUACAAACCAUAUCUCACUAAUUUCUACUACGUAAAGAACCUCUAACAAGUUAUAUCCACAAAACUCAAAGGCCAUAACACCUAAGAACAUGGUAUCAUAAUGUUUCAUUCAAUGACUUACAUAGUAUACGAGCUGUUUAAGCGUCCAGGUGAACAACAUGCCUUUGCAUCAAUCUGCAACUUCCUGAUUUUACUGAAUCAUGCAAAUAUCACUUACAUUUGAACUUUGAGCCUCUAGGACAACACGAAAAUCAAUUUGCUUCUCGUCUAAGUUCUCCCCAUAAUUGUGAAUUCGACAACCACUCAAAUACCUGGCAUCACAUAUAGAAUUGUGGAGGUUGGUAAACCAACAUGGAACCACUUGGUACAGAUGAACAGUAGGCUAAAGCUAAGGCAUCCCAACCAGGAAAAUUGAUAUACAACAGGACGGGUACCCAGAUACCAUAAACACGCCUCUAACACAAGGAACACAUAAUGAAAUAAGUAGCUUCUUAAUGAUUGGGAAAAUCUCACCCUACACCAAAGACCUUACAGUCUAGAGAAGCCAUCUCCCUCGCCAUUUCAAAAAUUUUUGUAUGCCAG